rnacentral:lncRNA from 1 species
UAAAAUCAUAUUACUAUCCCUGCUAAACUAAUAAUGUUAUUUUUCUCUGAAAAAGUAAAAACAAUUUGAAUACGAAACGUAAAUAAUUUGGAUUGAUUUGUAAUAAAAAAAAUUGACAAAGGAAAUGAUUUGGUGGGAACAUUGGAUCCGGAUUCACAGGCCAAAAUCCAAAAUAGAGUUAUUUCAGCCAAAUUGAUGUAUUUUCAACUGCCCCUACCAUUAAUUCUCAAAAACAAAAAAACAAAAAAAAAUAUCCCUACCAUUAUUUCAGCUAAAGUAGUGGAGGCCUUUGCUCCUUGCCAGUUGCCACUGGCUGGUUC